rnacentral:rRNA from 1 species
AUUGAACGCUGGCGGCAUGCUUUACACAUGCAAGUCGAACGGUAACAGGCCGCAAGGUGCUGACGAGUGGCGAACGGGUGAGUAAUGCAUCGGAACGUGCCCAGUCGUGGGGGAUAACGCAGCGAAAGCUGCGCUAGUACCGCAUACGAUCUAUGGAUGAAAGCGGGGGACCGUAAGGCCUCGCGCGAUUGGAGCGGCCGAUGUCAGAUUAGGUAGUUGGUGGGGUAAAGGCUCACCAAGCCAACGAUCUGUAGCUGGUCUGAGAGGACGACCAGCCACACGGGGACUGAGACACGGCCCAGACUCCUACGGGAGGCAGCAGUGGGGAAUUUUGGACAAUGGGCGCAAGCCUGAUCCAGCAAUGCCGCGUGCAGGAAGAAGGCCUUCGGGUUGUAAACUGCUUUUGUACGGAACGAAACGGUCCUGGUUAAUACCUGGGGCUAAUGACGGUACCGUAAGAAUAAGCACCGGCUAACUACGUGCCAGCCGCCGCCGUAAGAC